rnacentral:rRNA from 1 species
CCCUUAGAUGCUCUGGGCCGCACGCGCGCUACACUGGUCGAUGCAACGAGUUUCUUUCCUUGGCCGACAGGCCUGGGCAAUCUUUGAACAUCGAUCGUGAUCGGGAUAGAUUCUUGUAAUUUUUGAUCUUAAACGAGGAAUUCCUAGUAAACGCAAGUCAUCAGCUUGCAUUGAUUACGUCCCUGCCCUUUGUACACGCCGCCCGUCGCACCUACCGAUUGAAUGGUCCGGUGAAAUCUCCGGACUGGCGUGAGUCGGAGCAAUCUGACAAACACCGGAAAGUUGAUUAAACCUUACCAUUUAGAGGAAGGUGAAGUCGUAACA